GACUACUCCAAAGGUAGUGAAUUAUCUCAUUUGAUUGUUCACAGUUACAGAUUGACCCCUUGUUCGACUCUUUGCCCCCUUCUCACUACUGCGUUUGAUUGA
rnacentral:Y_RNA from 1 species